AAACAUUCUUGCAAAUAUUCAUGGGAUAUCUGCUACAAAGGAACCAUGUGAGAAGUUAGAAGAACUAUAUCAAACGAAGAGCCUCUCAAAAUCGGUUGUAUCUAAAGAACUAAUUUCAUUCAUUACGCGUUGAGACAGGUAUGAAAAUCUCAGACCAUCUGAGUACUCUCAACGGGAUUGUUUCAAAACUGGAGGCUAUUGGAGUGAAGAUAAAUGAUGUGGAUAAGGCACUACGGCUCAUCUGGUCUCUUCCGUCUACCCAUGAACAUAUCAAGCCAAUCUUGAUGUAUGGGAAGGAACCUGUGAGUUUCGCAGAAGUGACAAGCAACUUGAUGUCAGAAGAAAGAAGAUUAGGGAGACAAAAUAUUUCAUCUGACAAUGCGAUGCUUAUGACUGAAAAUGGGAAGAAAGGCAACUUUAUGAGGAAGAAAGCACCUUGUUGGAACUACGGUCAGACUAGCCACGUGAAGAGAAAUUGUCCAAAAGGUGAAGCAGGGUCGGCUAACUGCUUGGGGUUUGACAAUGCAUCUCUCUUGGCGGAAGAUGAUGCAGAUGUGGUGCUAUAAAGAAAGAUGGACACAUUCUCAUGGCAUAUUGUCAGUUGUCAUGAUAGAGGAUGCGUUCUUACUGGCGCGGGUCAGUAUAUUUACACAUAGCAUUGACUGACGUUUGAUGCAAGGUGUGUAGGUAUGUGGUGGUGUUGUG
rnacentral:lncRNA from 1 species